UACGUAGGGGGCAAGCGUUGUCCGGAUUUAUUGGGCGUAAAGAGCGUGUAGGCGGCCAGACAGGUCAGCUGUGAAAACUCGAGGCUCAACCUCGAGACGUCGGUUGAAACCGUCUGGCUAGAGUCCGGAAGAGGAGAGUGGAAUUCCCGGUGUAGCGGUGAAAUGCGCAGAUAUCAGGAGGAACACCGGUGGCGAAGGCGGGUCUCUGGACAGUUCCUGACGCUGAGGCAUGAAGGUCAGGGGAGCAAACGGG
rnacentral:rRNA from 1 species